GUCUCAACCACCAAGACACUAAAAAGCGUCGAUUUGUUGAAUUGAUACCCGAUUUCUGGCAAAAUUGGAAAACCUAAAAACUUAAAAAGCCUGCGCCGUCGUCUUCAAUUGAUUUCUGUAACCCUGCGCCGUCGUCUUCAAUUGAUAUCCGAUUUCUGUUGCCGCAACUUCGCCGUAGCACGAUUUCGCGAACCCUAGCGCCGUCAUCUUCUUCAUCUUCACACUUCAACUCAGUAUGAUUGGAUGGAAAAUUACCUGGUUAUCACUUCCAUCCUGGAUCUGGUGCAAAUAAUUGGCUAGUUAAUUUGGAGGUGUAGACUUCAAAGUUAAAUAUGUUACACUUGGUGGAAAAAAGUUGAAACUUGCUAUUUGGGACACAGUUGUUUCCUAGGUCAAUGAAAUGAGAGAUAGACCUUCAUGCAAAGUUUCUCAAUGCUGUGAAUGUACUUGGCUUACACGAGGCUCUUCCUAGAUAAAUAGUAGCUUUGAUGAAUGUAGAAGGAAUCAUUAGAGAACUUGUCGAAAGCCAUCUCCACGUCACAUGUUCUUUAAUAUUGUUAUUUACAAAUCUGGUGUUGCUAAGGAGCUGGUAUGAUCCACUUCUAACCCUUUUUUAAAAUUAUUUUUUUCUUUGAAUUUUUGUUUUUGAAAAUUAUAAUUCUGUCAACUUGCCUAUAUGAAUCUUAGAGCAAAGUUGGAGAUUUCUUCUCAGAAUCCAACUAUUCCGGGAGAGGACGACGCUAGUAGUCCACUAAUGAAAGUGACCAAAUAACAGGCUGUUGUUCCAUUUGCUUUCUACGGGAUUUAAGACAAACUUGUUAUUGUAACCCUUCAAUUUACAUUGUUUGUAACAAUUGUAUUUAUGCCUAUGCAGACCAAAUAAAGGAGGCAGUUCUUAGUGGUGUUUCUCUUGAAGAUGAUAAAAGACAACGGUUUAGCAAAAUUGAACAGUGAUUAUGUACUAGGCUUUGGGUAACUGGACAUAUCCUAUUUUCGGACUAUGGUGGAAAUUGAGAUCACGAGUUUGUAAUUCUAAGUAGGACAAGCAACAUGAACUGGUUUAUUAACAAACCAAAUGUAGUGAUGAGAUUUGAUUUAAUGAAUCUACAUAUACACAUGUGCUAAAAUUCCAAAUGCAAAGUGAUUGUACACCAUAACUAAAUGAAAUUCAAGUGAUGAUGUUUUCUUUUAGUUGUAUUUAUUUUUAAUAUUUU